rnacentral:rRNA from 1 species
ACCUCCCAUCCGUGUCUAUCUGUACCCUGUUGCUUCGGCGUGGCCACGGCCCGCCGAAGACUAACAUUUGAACACUGUCUGAAGUUUGCAGUCUGAGAUUUUUAGUUAAACAAUAAUUAAAACUUUCAACAACGGAUCUCUUGGUUCCGGCAUCGAUGAAGAACGCAGCGAAAUGCGAUAAUUAAUGUGAAUUGCAGAAUUCAGUGAAUCAUCGAGUCUUUGAACGCACAUUGCGCCCCCUGGUAUUCCGGGGGGCAUGCCUGUCCGAGCGUCAUUGCUGCCCUCAAGCACGGCUUGUGUGUUGGGCUUCCGUCCCUGGUAACGGGGACGGGCCCAAAAGGCAGUGGCGGCACCAUGUCUGGUCCUCGAGCGUAUGGGGCUUUGUCACCCGCUCCCGUAGGUCCAGCUGGCAGCUAGCCUCGCAACCAAUCUUUUUAACCAGGUUGACCUCGGAUCAGGUAGGGAUACCCGCUGAACUUAAGCAUAUCAAUAAGCGGAGGAAAAGAAACCAACAGGGAUUGCCUCAGUAACGGCGAGUGAAGCGGCAAGAGCUCAAAUUUGAAAUCUGGCCCCUUCGGGGUCCGAGUUGUAGUUUGUAAAGGAUGCUUCGGGUGCGGCCCCCGUCU